rnacentral:lncRNA from 1 species
GUAAUAAGAAUAAUAAUCAUAUAUAUAUAUAUAUAUAUAUAGAGUUGAUCUAGGAUACUUUUACAAGUAUCAUCCCCAAGUUGCUAUCACAUUUUUAGCCAUUGGAUCUACUUUUUGAUUACAAAUAGCCCUUGGAUCAAACACUAUUCCACCUACCACCACCUACCACCACCUACCCCCAUCAUCUCAACCUCCCAUCUCUCCAUCCAAGGGCUAGAAACACACAAGUAUCACUUGGGUGAUACUUGUAAAAGUAUUCUAGCCCUACUCUAUAUAUAUAUAUAUAUAUAUAUAUAUAUUCGAGCUUUUCGAGCCUAAUUCGAACGAGCCAAAUAAUACUCAAACUCGGCUUGAAAUGAAUUUCGAGCCUUUGUUUUUUGUUCAAACUUGGCUCAUUUAAUUUCGAGUCGAGCUCGAGCGAGCCAAAUAUCGAGUCGAACGCGAGCCGGCUCGCUCAUUUGCCAGCCCUAUGAAUCUCACAUUGCCUAGUACUUAUGCGUCUGAAACUGACGAGAACGUCAGGACUUAAGGGGGGAAGAAUAUGAAACCCCAAAUAGUCCUAUAUGUAAGAUAUAAUAGGACUAAAAUUUUUAACCCGAUUUAAGUAUUUUGAAUGAUGGCAAGAUACAAAAGGUUAAAAUAAUUAAGCGUGCUAGGAGGGGGCGUCACAAUUAACCCUCUUAGAUUUUACAGACUCAUUCCAGAUUUUUUUUUUUUAAUUAACUAAAUAUUCUUUUCUUUUCUCUCUUCCUCUAUCCCAUCACUCUCAUCUGACAUCUCCGUCAUUCAAAUUUUUAACCGUAAAAUUU